GAUGGAUGCUGCUGCGACGGAUUUCCCAGGCCGGGCAAUGCAGCCUCUUGCGGCGCGAUGCGGGCAGCGAUCGAUCGUUCUCCAGCAUUCUUGCCGCCAGAGCGCAUUCUUUCUCUGUUUCUAGCCGGAGCGCGGAGGAGCAGGAUGAUUUCUCCGAUACCGACACCGGUUUUGCGCACAAGCUCGCCAAGCAGGCGGCUAAGAUGGAAUCUCCCAAGCUCGUGGAUCUGUGUAACAAGAUUGCGGCGCUGCGGCCAAGGGAUUCCGGUCACGUAGUGCCGAUGUUGAAGGAAUGGGAAGAGGAAGGCAAUGUGCUCGACAAGGAGAUGCUUCGAGCGAUCAUGCUCAAGCUCCGGAAGUGGAAGCGUGGAUCUCUCGCCCUCGAGGUUGCCGAUUGGAUGUAUUACACAAAACAGUUCCCGCAGGAUCUGGACGACGUUAUCCUCCGAAUGGACAUGGCUGUGCGUGCCAAAAAGAUCCGGAGAGCUCAGAAGAUUUUCAAGAAGCUUCAGGCUUGGGAAAAGACGACCGACGCGUACAACACGAUGUUCUUGAUCUUCUCCCAGCGCAAGAUGAUCCUCCAUGCCGACGACUUCUACUACAAGUUUAAGGAGGCCAAGCUGAAGCCCAACGAUAUCACUUUCAGCAUACUGGCUUGCCUCUACCGGCGGUGUGGCCUGCACAACAAGGUGGUGAGGCUCCAGGAAGAUAUCGAGGCAGCAGGCAUGAAGCCGUGCGUUUGCUUCCUGAACAACUUGAUGGUGUCCAAGUACGAGCUUCACGGGAUUUCUUCGGCCGAAGAGAUUUUCAACCAACUGGUUCCUGCGGGAUCUGACCUCAAACGCUCGCACUUGUCUACGUACUCGAUGAUGGCUGCCUCGUAUUUGUCCGCGGGAAUGCACGACAAGGCCCAGAACUUGUUAGAGGUGAUCGAGAAAGCCAUGGACCAAGGCAGCUUUCCAAAGCUGCGGAGGACGUAUCACAUACUUAUCUCCAUGUACAGCACCAUGAAGAACAGGGAUGGUAUGGAGAGAGUCUGGAAGAAGAUCGAAGACUUGAAAGCGCAGGACUACGUUGCUAUGAUCGAAUCUUGUGGUCGAGCAGACGAGGUUGGUUCCGCCGAGAAGUACUUCAAGGAGGCGGACAGGAAAGGCUUGCUCAACCAGCCAUCCUUGUUUGCGGCACUCUUAGGCGUCUACGCUGGGAAAGGACAGGCAGACAAGGCCGAAAAGCUCUUCAAGAAGAUGAAAGAACAGGAUGUUUCCCGGGACGCGCUGUGCUACCACUACAUCAUUCUUGCUAACCUCAACGCCAGAAACAUCGAUCGCGCGGUGGAAAUCUUGGAGCUAGCAGAGGCUGCUGGAAUGCGGGAUGGACGCUCGAGGCCAUUCCUAGGAACGUUUUGUGACGUUCUCAAAACGAUUGCCAGAGAGACAGGGGAUGUAGCUCUGGCCGAGACAUUGCUGGCGGACUGGAGGAAGGGAAAGUAUAGAACCGACAUCGCGGUCUACAAUCAUCUUCUUCGGGUCUACUUGAAAGCUGGGAAGCAAGUCCAAGGCCCCUUCCUCAAGAGACUGGCUGGGAACAACAUGAAACCCACACGCGAAACUCACCAGCUGCUCCAGCAGCUCAGUGACGCUGGCGGAGAAGUCGUGACUGGCAACUAUUAUCUCUAGAUUAUCAGGGAAUGUUGGCUGCUGUCAUCGUUGUUCCAGUUGCGACGACCUUCGUUGCAAAUCCUUGGAGCAGAAAUAGAGCCAGGUGUCCGGCUUUAGUUUCAGCUCCAUGGCUGGCUGGGGCAGCAGCCAGCCGGACAGCUACACAGGUUUUGGGUUCGCAACACAUCGCACAACAGGCUAGACAGCAGGAAGAGGAGGACGAAGAGGACUACGGUGCACAGAAAGAAGACUAUGAGGAUGUCGAGGAUGAAGAAGAUGCGGCCGAUGAGCUGGGGAAGAUUUACGAAAAGGAUGAAGCCCGGCUGGCUGGUGUAGAUUUUAGCGCUGCCCAGCAGCUGUUGGAGGCUAUUUGCGAGCUCAAAGACGAGCAAUACAUUCGCGUCCAGAGAAUUGUGAGAGGAUGGCUCAGGUCGAGAGACGUGGAAGUGGGGAAGCACGAGUUUGUAUACGUGAUGAGGCGACUGAGAAAGCGCAAGAGAGUCAAGCAUGCACUAGAGAUUGCGGACUGGAUGGCUCUCUCGAGACCAAGACCCUUCACUCUAACUACGAAGGACAAUAUUUUUCGAAUGGACCUGGCUUCUCGCUGCGGAUCUGUUGGCAAGGCCGAGAGGAUCUUUGAGCGUCUCGCACCAGAGCACAGGUCCGAAGUUGCUUACAACGCUCUUCUUCUCAGCUACACCAA